CGAUAGAGCAGGACCUCAAGGUUUAGGUCGUCCUCCUAUUGGAAAUACAUGUUGACCACGAAUGCUUCCGCAUACCCAACUGGACUUGCACCAGUCACUGCCACAAAAAGAUCAAGCUCUGUGCUUCAACCUGGUGCCAGAUGAAUGCAUGGCGAUUGAAAACCACUGGGAGAAUCGGAAUUUCCAGCUUGAUUCCCUUCACGUCCAUGCAAUCAUAACGGCUUGUUUUUUCUUUUCGUUCCUAAUAAUCACAAAGAUUCUGACAUGCAUCUUUUGGUUUCUUGGUUUCUUUGCAUACUGCUUUAUUCAUCCAACCCUCAAAUUACGAGAAAAACAGCCCAUUUGUGCGGUAUCUUGCCAUGAGAACUAUGAUAGCUUCAUGUGGACGGUUGACACUCCACCCAGUAUGUUACAAGGCUAAAGGAUCUUGUUUGGUUGGGGAGAAAGUGUAGGGAAAUGGAAGGAACCAAAAUCUUUGAACACUGCAUGGUCUCAAAUUUUGGGGUUCUUCAAGAAUAAGAUAACUUGUCUGGUUCUGUUUUUUCUUGGUUUUGUAUGGAACCAAAUAGAGGAGUGAGAAAAUUGCUGUUCUCAGUAAUGUUCUGGUUUGAUUUUUGAUGUUCUUCCACUUCUUUGUACAGGGAAAGCUAGAUGGUUUGAAACGUAAAUGCAUGUGAUCAGAAUUAAAAAGAUUAUUAAAAAAGAAAAGAAAAAACAAGAAGAGUAAAGAUUGUUCUUCUUAUAGGUUAAUGGACGUGAAGAUCAUCAAGUUGGAAAUUUGCGAUUCACCCGGUUUUCAAUGGCCAUAUAUUCAUCCGAAACCGUGUUGCAAUGUUCGUUGACAGCUUGAUCUUUCUUUGACAGUGACGAUUGCAAACCAAGAAAAUAUACCCUGUAAUUUUCUUUUAUUUAUUUUUCGUUUCUCAGCAACCAAAUGGACAUCGCAGGAGGGUCGACUUCAAUGCAUGAAGGAGCUAGCGGCAAAGUACGAAAGGGAGGUGGCCAUGAGCUCAAAAACAACAUAGCCAAACAUAGCCAAUCCGGUAGUACAAGUCCUGGUGCAACGCCACUGUACCAGGUCUUCCACCAGCACCUCCAUCUAUUCAUCCUCCUUAUCCUAUUAUUGGUAUGUCUAAACCUGCAGCAACACCAUACACUGGGGGAAAGCCACCACCAUAUUAUCCUCCUUUUCUGUGUAGGAAAACAAUUCCUCAUUUCGUUUAGGCUUAUCCGGUUCACAUAAAGCUUAAGGGAAAAUAUAUUUUUAUAUUCUACAUCAAACUUAUUUCACUUUUUUAAGUCUUCUACAUAAACACUAAAUAAUUUAAAAUUAUAUAAUUUUUUUACUAAUUUUAAUUUUAUUUAUUUAUUUAUUUAUUACUUUUUUAUAAUAAAAUCAAACCUUAAAAAAUAUUUUUUUUUCCUAUUUCUUAAUUUUCGGGAGCCAAAUAUAACUUAAAGUUAUAUGGAAAAUAAGAAAGAAAGUGGUCUAGGAUUCAUCAAUGGAUGGUAUGGUGGUGGCAUAGACUUUCCCCUAGUUUAUGGUCUAGGUGGAGGUCUAGACAUAUGACUAGGUGGUGGUGCACCCAAACCACUAGGUGGUGUGUUCUUGGUCAUGUUGCUUUUGAGUUCAUAGUCUACUCCCAUUUGUAUUGUUGGAAAGUUAAAGGCAAAUCUAGAGAAUUAUCUUGUUCAGGUAUAAAAAUUUCUUCGCAAUAAUAACCUCUCAAUAAUAAUAAUAACCUUUCAUUAUUAUUUUUGAAUAAAAAUUGCACUUUUUAUAUUGUUGUAAUUCUGAAAACAAAUUUUUCAUUGCAAAUUUCUAAUUUUGAUACUUUGUACCAUCUCUUGUAAUUUAAAAGAAUUUUUACUCUAUAUAUAUAUAUAUUAUGAUAAUAGUUUUUGAUAUUGUUCAUAUAAGUUUUAAAUUUUCUAUAAUGUUUUUAUUGAAAUGGUAUUUGAAGCUUAAGAGUAAUUUUGAAUUAAUCAUGCUAAAACACAAAUUUACAUUUUUCAAAUGAUCAUUAGAUAGAGUUUAGAUAGAGUUUACCUUAAUUAUUAAACCAUUUUUUUUCCUAAUUAGGAUAAGAGAAGAGAGAGCAACCUUGGCCCUUGAAUUUCAAAUAUAUAUAUGGAUAUAUAUCCUAUCUUAUCUUCAACUAACUAUAUAUGGAUAUAUAGUUUUUGAUUUUUGAUGUUCUUCCACUUCUUUGUACAGGGAAAGCUAGAUGGUUUGAAACGUAAAUGCGUGUGAUCAGAAUUAAAAGAUAAUUAAAAAAGAAAAGGAAAAACAAGAAGAGUAAAGAUUGUUCUUCUUAUAGGUUAAUGGACGUGAAGAUCAUCAAGUUGGAAAUUUGCGAUUCACCUGAAACCAUGUUGCAAUGUUCGUUGACAGCUUGAUCUUUCUGUGUCAGUGGCGAUGGGCGCAAGUCUCUCUUCGGUGAUCUUGAUCUUGGUAUUUGGUUCUCAAGAAAACUUACGGUGGCCAAGUCGGCGGGAAAUUCACCUCAGUCUGGCUUCUAUCUGGUGAGUAACCAAAUACUGCCAAUCAUAAGCAAAAUUGGUUAUUCCAUAAGUUUUUAAUCAAAUUAUACAUGUCACAAAGUGUAUCAAAGUGUAUAGAUGUGCUUCUUAGCAAAAUAUAUAUAUGAAAAAACUUUGGGCUGUUUCACUGUGUUUUCUUCUCAUUGUUUUUAAAUACUAUUUUUAAUUUAAGAAACAGAAAACAAUGUUUUGGUGUUUUAUAAAAAUAAGGGCAAGUUUGGUUGUUAUUUUUUAAAAUUGUUCUAGAAAAUAGCUUUUAAAAAUAGGUUUUAAGAACAAUUUUUAAUGUUUUCAAAAAUAAAAUUGCGUUUAGAAACUGAAUUUUGAAAAAUAAUUUUUGUUCUUCAAAACAAUAAAUAAAUAAAUAACAUUUUUGGUUGAGUUAAGAAAAAAAAAGCUUUUUAGAACAAGGAAAAACAUGUUUGUAAGUUAUUGUUGUUUAAAACAUGUUUGAACAAUGUAUGUAUUAAUUACUUUGGUUCGUUCACAAUCAACACCCAAAUUUUUUAUGUUCUCCAUUCCUUUGGCAUCAUGAUAUUUUCUGAUAAUAUACUUUUGCAUGUGAAUUCAUCCAUGGUGGGUUUCCUGAAAUCUCAAUGUCUCCGUACAAAAAUGGAUUGGAACCCAUUGCUCAAUUCUCCAAUAAUCUCAUUUUAUGACCACUACCCUACACCUAGAUGGUAAAAACAAGCUCAAAGAUCUACCCAUCAUAAUACUAGUACAGUAUGUUGCCAUUGAUUUAUAUUCUCCAUUCAAGUCUCUCUUCUCCUUCACCCCAAGCACCCAUCAUCUCCGAUAUUCUUUUCUCUAAGGCAAUGUGUUACAACUUACAUGCACCAAUCUAGAUAUAUAUAUAGAUUCAAUUUAUAAAUCUGUUUGUUUUCAAGAACUGGUUUGAACUCCAUGUGGUAGUGAGGUUUUUGUUUGGAUGUGCAUGCAAGUUGCAAAUGUGUAAAUGAGACGGCAGCUGACAUAAAUGACAAAAAGGACACCCCCCGCACCUCCGCCCCCCCCCCCCCCCCNNNNNNNNNNNNNNNNNNNNNNNNNNNNNNNNNNNNNNNNNNNNNNNNNNNNNNNNNNNNNNNNNNNNNNNNNNNNNNNNNNNNNNNNNNNNNNNNNNNNGGCCAUGGAUUUAUUUUCCCCAUCAAGGUUUUUUUUUCCCUCCCCCCCAGGCCCCCUUCAUUUCGGAUUUUUUUUUUUUAAGGGAAAGGGGUUCCAACUUCCCGGCCCCAAUCUGGAAAAAUACAGGGGUCCAAUUUAAAAUUCGGUUGGUUUCCAAAACGGGGUUGGACCCCCGGGGGGGGGGGGGGUUUUGGUUGGGGGGGGCCCCCAGGUGCAAAAGGGGAAAAGGGGGGGGCGGGGGCAAAAAAGGAAAAAAGGGACCCCCCCGGCCCUCCGGCCCCCCCCCCCCCCCCCAUCAUAAAGGCCCCCUGCUCAUCACCCAGAAAUGAAUCAACUAUUUCUACAUUUAUGGCACAGUUUUAGUUUCUGCAUAUUUUUUAUAGCAGUUUUUCUCUAUUUGUUUUUGGUUGUAAAAGUCUUUUACAUGAUGAUUGCUUCUUAGAUAGAUAUAUAUGAUCAGUGAUAUGCACACACAAAAUUAAUGGUUUACCAACCUGGGUGAAAAAUACAAGGAGAGUGACAAGCUUCAAGGAUCUGAAGAGCAUCCUGAUGAGGGAGAAGUAGCUGAGGGACCAGGACAACACUAUUUCAUGGCGUUUAUGGGGAGACAC
rnacentral:lncRNA from 1 species